UACGUAGGGGGGCAAGCGUUGUCCGGAUUUAUUGGGCGUAAAGAGCGUGUAGGCGGCCAUACAGGUCAGCUGUGAAAACUCGAGGCUCAACCUCGAGACGUCGGUUGAAACCGUAUGGCUAGAGUCCGGAAGAGGAGAGUGGAAUUCCCGGUGUAGCGGUGAAAUGCGCAGAUAUCGGGAAGAACACCCGUGGCGAAGGCGGCUCUCUGGGACGGUACUGACGCUGAGACGCGAAAGCGUGGGAGCGAACAGG
rnacentral:rRNA from 1 species